CCUGAAGCUCAUGUUUUCUAGGCUGGGCUCCUGUGUCUGCCCCACUCAGAUCUGAAGUUACAGGUAUUCAUGGCCAAGGGUUGAUCCUCAUGCUUGUCCAGCAAGUGACUUAACAGCAAAACCAGCCUUCCAGAACUGGGUAUUUUUCAGAAAAAUUCCAACCACUGGAUUCACUGUGCCUUUAUUCCUGAAUGGAUUCACCGGGUUAUGCUGCUGUGUCCUUCACAAAGAAUUUCAGACAUGUACGGUGGUGUGGCUCUCCCGAAGCCUUAUGCUUCUUGCUGCAAGGAACACAGAAGAACAGGCACUGUCGGAUCCUCCCAGGAGACAACUACAUCAGGCUCCUGUCAGCAAGUACUUGUUGGCAUCCACAAUAGUGUCUGGGUUUAGUG